GGUAGGAUAGCCGAGAACCAGGCGGUGGGUUGUAGCCCCGAAGACAGAGGUGUGAGUCCUCUUCCUAUCA
rnacentral:tRNA from 1 species